UGUGGUAUAGCUCAAUGGGUAGAGCACGUGCUUAGUUUAGCAUGCACAAGGUCCUGGGUUCAAUCCCCAGUACCUCCU
rfam:Camelus ferus unplaced genomic scaffold scaffold1913, whole genome shotgun sequence.